GAAUUCGCCCUUAGAGUUUGAUCAUGGCUCAAACGAACGCUGGCGGCAGGCUUAACACAUGCAAGUCGAGCGAAGACUUCGGUCUUAGCGGCGGACGGGUGAGUAACGCGUGGGAACAUGCCCUUCACUACGGAAUAGUCCCGGGAAACUGGGUUUAAUACCGUAUACGCCCUUUGGGGGAAAGAUUUAUCGGUGAAGGAUUGGCCCGCGUUAGAUUAGGUAGUUGGUGGGGUAACGGCCUACCAAGCCGACGAUCUAUAGCUGGUUUGAGAGGAUGAUCGGCCACACUGGGACUGAGACACGGCCCAGACUCCUACGGGAGGCAGCAGUGGGGAAUCUUAGACAAUGGGGGCAACCCUGAUCUAGCCAUGCCGCGUGAGUGAUGAAGGCCUUAGGGUCGUAAAGCUCUUUCGCCAGGGAUGAUAAUGACAGUACCUGGUAAAGAAACCCCGGCAAACACCGAGCCAACAGCCGCGGAAAACGGAGGGGGCAGCGAGG
rnacentral:rRNA from 1 species